GUAGGUGGCAAGCGUUGUCCGGAAUUAUUGGGCGUAAAGCGCGCGCAGGCGGUUCUUUAAGUCUGAUGUGAAAGCCCACGGCUCAACCGUGGAGGGUCAUUGGAAACUGGAGAACUUGAGUACAGAAGAGGAAAGCGGAAUUCCACGUGUAGCGGUGAGAUGCGUAGAGAUGUGGAGGAACACCAGUGGCGAAGGCGGCUUUCUGGUCUGUAACUGACGCUGAGGCGCGAAAGCGUGGGGGGAGCAAACAGGAUUAGAUACCCUGGUAGUCCACGCCGUAAACGAUGAGUGCUAAGUGUUAGGGGGUUUCCGCCCCUUAGUGCUGCAGCUAACGCAUUAAGCACUCCCGCCUGGGAGUACGGCCGCAAGGCUG
rnacentral:rRNA from 1 species